AGUGAACGCUGGCGGCAGGCCUAAUACAUGCAAGUCGAACGGCAGCACAGCUUAAGCUUGCUUAAGUGGGUGGCGAGUGGCGGACGGGUGAGGAAUACGUGGGAAUCUGCCCAGUCGUGGGGGAUAACGUAGGGAAACUUACGCUAAUACCGCAUGCGCCCUUUGGGGGAAAGCCGGGGAUCUUCGGACCUGGCGCGAUUGGAUGAGCCCACGUCGGAUUAGCUAGUUGGAGGGGUAAAGGCCCACCAAGGCGACGAUCCGUAGCUGGUCUGAGAGGAUGAUCAGCCACACUGGACCUGAGACACGGUCCAGACUCCGACGGGAGGCAGCAGUAGGGAAUAUUGGACAAUGGGCGAAAGCCUGAUCCAGCCAUGCCGCGUGAGUGAAGAAGGCCCUCGGGUUGUAAAGCUCUUUUGUUGGGGAAGAAAAGCCUUGGGUUAAUACCCUGAGGUUCUGACGGUACCCAAAGAAUAAGCACCGGCUAACUUCGUGCCAGCAGCCGCCGUAAUAC
rnacentral:rRNA from 1 species